rnacentral:rRNA from 1 species
CAGCCGCCGCGGUAAUACGUAGGUGGCAAGCGUUGUCCGGAAUUAUUGGGCGUAAAGCGCGCGCAGGCGGAUAGGUCAGUCUGUCUUAAAAGUUCGGGGCUUAACCCCGUGAUGGGAUGGAAACUGCCAAUCUAGAGUAUCGGAGAGGAAAGUGGAAUUCCUAGUGUAGCGGUGAAAUGCGUAGAUAUUAGGAAGAACACCAGUGGCGAAGGCGACUUUCUGGACGAAAACUGACGCUGAGGCGCGAAAGCCAGGGGAGCGAACGGGAUUAGAUACCCCCGUAGUCCCUGUCUCUUAUACA